CGGCGGCGUCAUGGCUGGCCGGUUGAAUCGACCUCGGCCGCCUCUUGUCUCUGGAUCCCCUCCGUAGACAACCUCCUGCUUUGUCGCCGGUACCCCUCCGCUACCAAAGCCUCCACUACCAAAGCCCAACACUGCGCGCAGCCGAGGCAUGCCCUCCUGGGUUGGGGUCGAACGUAGUCAAUUGAAAUUGGACGGGCGUCCUGCCGUGGCUGCCCCCAACGCCUAUGAACUGGGCACCUAUCCCCUUGCAAUUUUACGUCAGCUUGCAGAUUGGGCACUGGCUAAAUGUUAAUUUCAUUGCCGGUGGUUUGUAAUCCCGACGGCUUCAGGUGAGCGGCAAGUGGUCCCGAUCCCUGUCGCCCUGAGUCUGGCCUCCGUGGUGGGUUGCGGCCGGCGCUACCGGUUCCACCUGCGUGCUGCAUGUGUUCUACAUCGGCGAAGAAAUGCUGUCCCUGUCAG